rnacentral:tRNA from 1 species
GCCACCAUAGCAAAGUGGUUUGAGUGUUGGACUACAACUCUGGAGACCAGGGUUCAAUUCCCAAUUUGGCC